rnacentral:rRNA from 1 species
GUGAGGGAUAUUGGUCAAUGGGCGAAAGCCUGAACCAGCGACGCCGCGUGGAGGACGAAGGGCUUCGGCUCGUAAACUCCUUUUCCUGCGGAAGAGUAAGGACGGUACGCAGGGAAUAAGUCUCGGCUAACUACGUGCCAGCAGCCGCGGUAAAACGUAGGAGGCGAGCGUUAUCCGGAAUCACUGGGCGUAAAGGGCGUCUAGGCGGGGCAUUAAGCGUGGUGUGAAAGUCCUAGGCUCAACCUAGGGAGUGCGCCGCGGACUGGUGCUCUAGAGGGCGGGCGAAGGGGGUGGAAUUCCCGGUGGAGUGGUGAAAUGCGUAGAUAUCGGGAGGAACACCAGAGGCGAAAGCGGCCCCCUAGCCUGUUUCUGACGCUGAAGCGCGAAAGCGUGGGGAGCGAACGGGAUUAGAUACCCCAGUAGUCC